rnacentral:rRNA from 1 species
AUUGACGUUACCCGCAGAAGAAGCACCGUCUAACUCCGUGCCAGCACCCGCGGUAAUACGGAGGGUGCAAGCGUUAAUCGGAAUUACUGGGCGUAAAGCGCACGCAGGCGGUCUGUCAAGUCGGAUGUGAAAUCACCGGGCUCAACCUGGGAACUGCAUUCGAAACUGGCAGGCUGGAGUCUUGUAGAGGGGGGUAGAAUUUCAGGUGUACCGGUGAAAUUCGUAGAGAUCUGGAGGAAUACCGGUGGCGAAGGCGGCCCCCUGGACAAAGACUGACGUUCAGGUGCGAAAGCGUGGGGAGCAAACAGGAUUAGAUACCCUGGUAGUCCACGCUGUAAACGAUGUCGACUUGGAGGUUGUUCCC